AAGAGGUUUUUCAACUCCCCAGGGCUUGCCGGAAUCGGUCCCUCCAAUUUGCCAUAGUAUGCAUCAAGCCUAUUUAACUGUGAAAGGUUCCCUAGUGAUGGAGGUAUGAGACCAGACAAGCUAUUAUUAUACAAUGAUAGCUCUAUCAUGUUUUCCAGCUUGCCAAUGCUCUCUAUAAUCACUCCGUAUAUGGAAGUAUUUACUAUUGCGAGAAUACUCCCGGGGACCCUAUUGUCCACUAAGUAUAACUGCUGGAGAGUCGUUGAGAGGUUCACAAUUGAACCCGGUAGUUGACCCCCAAAAGAAUUUUUGCCUAGUACCAAUCGCCUUAGUUGGCUGCAGUUUGCCAAAGAAGUAAUGAAUUCCCAGCCUUUGUUUUCAUUUGCUUCAAGCUUAUUGUGAGCCACGUUCAGAAGUUGGAGAGCUCUGAGCCUCCCCAAAGUGGGUGGCACAUACCCACUAAAUCUAUUUUCAAAGAGUCGUACUUCUGUGAGCUCAGACAUAUUGGAUAGUGAUGAAGGGAGAACUCCAGUGAAGUGA
rnacentral:rRNA from 1 species